CUUGACAUAAGAAGAAUCAGAUAACAUCUAACAAAAAAGGAAAGUGUAUGAAGCUGAGUACAAAUUGCAGAUCCAAAAACAACCUAAUGGUUUUGGAAAACGGUAGAACAAUCCUUUGGUAUCUCAUCAAAACAGAGUAUGUACUAUGUAUGAAGCUGACUGAAUACAAAUAAAGAAACAAACAAACUUGAGCAAAGCAAUGCUGCUACUCUUGACACUCAAUAGUUU
rnacentral:lncRNA from 1 species